rnacentral:lncRNA from 1 species
AAGGGAUGAAAGUUGAUAUCCAACAAUUGAAGGGGCAAAUGCGCCAAGCCUUAGAGGCCCUGAAUGCCUUACAGGGAACUGGAGAUUCGUGUGCACCACGACUGCAACAAAGAGUAUCAGAGACCCAAAAUUUCCCUUACAUGGUGUCAACACCCAAUUUUGUCCGGGCGACUAAAUAAUAGGACUUGUUUUUUUUGUUUUUAUUUUAUUUUAUUUUCAUUUUUUUUAUGUUACUAUUUGAUUUAGUUUUUAUUUUAUUAUUGGAUUUAAUUUUAUAUUUCUAGAUUUUAUUUUAUUUUAUUUUUUUAUUAUUUUAUUAUUUUAUUUUUUAUUUUACUAUUGGAAUUUGAUUUAAUUUUCGUUUGAUUUUAUUAUUUCGAAAAUUAAAAAAAACAAAAAAAAAAGGAAAAAAAGAAAAGGAAACAAAAAGGAAAAACAAAAAUAAUAAAAAAAAGGAUUGAAAAAGUGUGAGAGAGCAUGGGUAUUGUUUGAACAAAUUCAUAGCAGAGCAGGUAACUGUUUUCGAAGGUACCAAAAACGCACACACACUACACGGUCCUUUUUGGCUGGCAACACUUCAUCAUGCAUCAUACACAUACCACCAUUCUGUGAGGGAAAUACCUGAUGACUCCACCCAAUGAUUUUCCCAUCCUAACGACCCGAUACACUCAUCGCCACCUCCCAACCCGAAAACACCUUAACCAAAUACCACCCCCUCAGCACGCAACCCACCUUUGACUAGCCACCAUCUCCUCUGUCACCGAUCACCAAGCUUCAAGAGGUAAGUAUUCACCUAUCAUCAUGGGUCUAUGAGUUGGUAGCAUUUUAAUCUCUUGGUUUCCACUCGUUGAAUACAUCCCUGCUGUGUUGUGUAUGCUUAUAUAUAAUUGUUGUAUAUGAUUGAUAUGUGAUUCCAUCACCCAAUCUUCUACCAUCCUCAAUCCCUCGACGUUGCAAUGCCCGUCCAUCAUACCUUCGACCCUUCAACAUUACAGCUCCACAGAUUUCUCAAUAAACACCCAG